GUUAGAUGUGUUGAUUGUUCAGAUGUUUCAACAUUUUCUGAAUAGUAUAAGGCCUGACCACCCUGAUCAAGUAUUCAUGGACAUCGAGGAAAUAAUGAGCAUUAUAAUAAAAGAGAGUGAAGAAAUUCCAAUGCAGCUUCUGAACAUCCUCAUUAGUAGUGUUAAGAAGGAUAACCAGAAUGUUUCACCUCGUUCCUAUAUGUUGGGAGAGA
rnacentral:misc_RNA from 1 species